GUCAGCCUCCUGGGGCAGGCACAGAAGGGUGGAGGGAAGACCUCAUUAAAUAAAGACAUCCAGCACACCAAAACAGGCAGAAAGCAGACAUGAUAACGAGAUUGCCACCUCUUUACCUUCUUGUAACCAUAAGAAUGAGGGAAGCUUCAUUCCGACGGAGUUCGACCAAAAUAGAGAAGAAGUUGUAAGGGCAACCCUUGCAUAAAAAUAUCCACUCACCAACUGUUCACCAACUGUUCUUCCUCUUGCUGGCAUACCUUAUGCAGCAUCCUAAGAUGCCAGAGCGCGUUUCUGCUGCAGCCUCCACGAUGCCUGGGCUGAUAGCAAUCAGGUCCUGCUAUGCUUCUUUCAGGAAGAGCUGACCCCUGGAAUCUGGGCUAGACUUGCACUUGUUUUGGCCAUUGGAAUAUCAAGCUGACUUUUUGUGGGCUCUGGAGACUAGGACCUAAAAGGAGGAAUGUUGCCCCCUCACCAUUAUGUAAAGAAGCUGGCGCAACCUGCUGGAGGAGAAUAUGCCACCUGGGGAAGAACUGAGGCACCCAGCCAACAUCCAGCACCCACCACUAGACAUGUGAGUGAAACUAUCGUUGGACUUUUCAUCUCAGCUCACCUGCUAGCAGAAUGUGGCUGCAUGAAUAAGCCCAGGGGAAACCAGCAGAGGGACCUCCCAGCUAACCCACAGAAUCAUGAGAAAUAACACAUUGUUAUUUUAGUUAUGUUUUGGGGUAAUUUGUUACCUAGCAAUAUUUAACUGAACAGAGGACUUAACUC